rnacentral:rRNA from 1 species
UACGAAGGAUGCAAGCGUUAUCCGGAUUCAUUGGGCUUAAAGGGAGCGUAGGUGGCCUUAUAAGUCAGUGGUGAAAUCUCUCGGCUUAACUGAGAAAUUGCCAUUGAUACUGUAGGGCUUGAGUACAGUUGCUGUGGGCGGAAUAUGACAUGUAGUGGUGAAAUACAUAGAGAUGUCAUAGAACACCGAUUGCGAAGGCAGCUCACAAGACUGUAACUGACACUGAGGCUCGAAAGUGCGGGGAGCAAACAGG